UACGGGGGGGGCAAGCGUUGUUCGGAAUUACUGGGCGUAAAGGGCUCGUAGGUGGCCAACUAAGUCAGACGUGAAAUCCCUCGGCUUAACCGGGGAACUGCGUCUGAUACUGGAUGGCUUGAGGUUGGGAGAGGGAUGCGGAAUUCCAGGUGUAGCGGUGAAAUGCGUAGAUAUCAAGAGGAACACCUGCGGCGAAGGCGGGUUGCUGGGCUGACACUGACGCUGAAGCGCGAAAGCCAGGGGAGCGAACGGG
rnacentral:rRNA from 1 species